rnacentral:rRNA from 1 species
GCGUUAACGAACGAGACCUUGACCUGCUAAAUAGCCCAGUUCACUUUUGUGGACUGCCGGCUUCUUAGAGGGACUUUUGGCUCAAGCCAAUGGAAGUACGAGGCAAUAACAGGUCUGUGAUGCCCUUAGAUGUUCUGGGCCGCACGCGCGCUACACUGACAGAGUCAGCGAGUACAUCACCUUGGCCGAAAGGCCUGGGUAAUCUUUUGAAACUUGAUCGUGCUGGGGAUAGUCCAUUGCAAUUAUUGGACUUCAACGAGGAAUUCCUAGUAAGCGUGAGUCAUCAGCUCGCGUUGAUUACGUCCCUGCCCUUUGUACACACCGCCCGUCGCUAGUACCGAUUGAAUGGCUU